AACAAAGCCUCUUUUGUGUUUAGUGUUGUUCAUGUGACAGAAUUACAGCAUAUUCUGUCAAAUCUGGUAUGAAUGUUUUGUACCAUUUCCAGUGGCCCUAUCAGAAUUCCCACUGGUAAGUGUCCCUUUCUUUCUCUGUCUCCUGAGUAGAGAACACAUAAGGCCCUAGAUGAGGGCAGGGCCACAAGGCGGAAUAAUUCUGGGAACUUGAAUGACUGUGUGGAAGAGAGUUUUACUUGCUUAUCUGUAUUCGGCUAUAGUCUGAGUAAGAAACAAAUUUGUUUGUAUUUUACCAUGGAAAAUUUGACUGUAGAGCAAUUAGUUUUUCUCACUGAAACAUUAGACAGGUUUGCUUCUAGUUUGAAAUUCUGUGAUUUGUCAAAAAUCUUUAAGAGUGAGGUUAGAAAAAGAUGAAGAAGAGCCAAAAUUUGUGUCUUUGCCUCUCUAGUUAUUCUCUCUGUGGUAACUGGAG
rnacentral:lncRNA from 1 species